rnacentral:rRNA from 1 species
CCUACGGGUGGCAGCAGUGGGGAAUAUUGGGCAAUGGGCGCAAGCCUGACCCAGCAACGCCGCGUGAAGGAAGAAGGCUUUCGGGUUGUAAACUUCUUUUCUCAGGGACGAAGCAAGUGACGGUACCUGAGGAAUAAGCCACGGCUAACUACGUGCCAGCAGCCGCGGUAAUACGUAGGUGGCAAGCGUUAUCCGGAUUUACUGGGUGUAAAGGGCGUGUAGGCGGGGACGCAAGUCAGAUGUGAAAACCACGGGCUCAACCUGUGGCCUGCAUUUGAAACUGUGUUUCUUGAGUACUGGAGAGGCAGACGGAAUUCCUAGUGUAGCGGUGAAAUGCGUAGAUAUUAGGAGAAACACCAGUGGCGAAGGCGGAUGACUGGACGGCAACUGACGGUGAGGCGCGAAAGCGUGGGGAGCAAACAGGAUUAGAUACCCUUGUAGUC